UUUUUGUUGAUCUAGACAUUUUUGGAUAAGAGUUGUGAAAAUAUACAGAUCUUCUACGUUCUGAAGCCAUUACGAAAGCCAACCUGUCUAUUACUCAUAUCUUUUUUACACUUUCUGAGUUACUUUACAUAUAUUUUUUAGAUACAUGCAACUUCCCACUACAAACUGUAAUGGAGCUCCAAAGUAAAAGAGCAAGUGCUAUUGUAGAUUACCAACCAAAAUAUGUACUACGAAAAAUUAUUUGUAGAAGGCUAAAGACUAACUAUUUAUUUUGAUUGCAGAUGUAUAUCCAGUUGAGUUAGGCCAGCUGCAUACUAUUGAAUUGGAAGAAAUUGCAGAAGCAGGAACAAGUCAACAAACUUCUGCUAGAAAUAAAGAAGAACAAACUUCGAAAAGAAGGCUUGUCUCUUCAAAUAUCAAGGACGCAUGCGAAGUUUGGGUAAGGAGCCUCACUGUACUAGUGGAAGAAAUGAAGGCAAUCAGGCAAGAAGUGGCAAAAGCGGCAAUAAUCAAUAAGGGCAAGGUGAAAUUAGAAUAUUUUAGGAUAUUUCAAACUUUUGACGGGUUUGAGGACUUUUGGGAUAAUUUGUAACAUGAUCAUCAUCAGUGGCAUCACAUCUCUGGCUCGUUGUCCCAGCCCUCUUCCCCGAGAGAAACCUUUGUGACUUGCACCUACCUCUCGCCUGAUUACAUGCCAUAGUUAGUAUAAUUUAGGUUUAUUUACAGUUUAUUUUAGGUGUAGAUUUACUUUGUAUGAUAUUUUAGGUUUGUUUUAGAUUUUUUCGAUCUUUUUUUAAUUCAUUUUUGAAAUUUGUAAUUAAUUGUAAGGGGCUGUCUAUUAAUCACGUGAGGCUAGAAAGGGUGUAAGGGUGAGGGGCCCAUAAAAAAUCACAAGGGGGAGGAGGAGGAGAGUGUAGUAAUAUAUCACGUGUAUUUAUUUCUUCAAGAAAUAGAAAGGCUGGCCAUUGACAUAAUGGGAAUAAGUGAGAUGAGAUGGCGUGGAACAGGAAGCAUUGACAAAAAAGAUCACAAAAGAAUAUUCUACUCAGGGUCAUCAGAUGGAAAACUAGAGUGUGGAGUUGGGGUAAUAAUAACGAGGAACAUUAGUAGGUGUAUAUCAAAUUUUGUCCCAUUGUCCGACAGAGUAAUACUAUUGCAUAUCCCUGUUACCACAUAGUGGUGUAGGGCGACAAUAUAAAUACAACUUAUUUUAGUUUCUUUAGUUCCUCUGUUCUGAAUUUGCAAUUCCAAGUAUUUGUAAGGUUCGUCUUGUUGAAAUAUAUUUCUGUUAACUUU
rnacentral:lncRNA from 1 species